GUUUUAAAUGUCGAAAAAUCUUUUUAGAAAAUUGUUCAUAUUUUUUCAAAAAUAUUUCAAUGACCCUGAAGAUGAGGCAAGUAAGACCUCGAAAUAUAUAGGCCAAAAAUAAAUAGUUUUCUAAAAUAAAAAGAUGAGUUUUUAAAUUAAUCUGAACUAAAAGAAGCAAAACAAAGAAGGACAUUCUGAAGUCGAGUUAUUCCCAAAAAACGAUAUUUUUGGGUGUUUUCGCACCGGUUUUGCAUGCGUUCAUUUAUCAAUAUCUUGGCCAUCUUUGGUGAUAAAGAGCUCAUUUUUGCUUUACAAUGCAGUACAUGAACAGGGCUACAAAAUAGGUUAGAAAAAUGUCAAUCAUGAUAGAAGCUUUUUUCGAAAUAAUGACAAAAAUGUGUUUUUUAACAACAAGAAUUUGACUUUAAAUGGCUGCCAUUUUAUAUUUACUCAUUCAAAUACAAUGAAAUUACAUAUAACGAUAGAAAAUAUUAUAAGGAAGAGAAUGUUUGUUUAUUUUUUGGUCUACGACAAUCUGGAGCAAAGAUAUUAGCUUAGAAGUAAAAUAUCCCAAAAAAUGCAUUUUUGUGAAUAAUUCCGCUAAAAAGAAUGAUCAGGUGGUGAGAAAUUGGGUUUAAGCCUUUUAAAUAUACCUCUAUCGAUCCAUGAAAUAAAAACUGACAGUGCCUCUCUGC